UACGUAGGGGGCAAGCGUUGUCCGGAAUUAUUGGGCGUAAAGAGCGUGUAGGCGGCCCGAUAAGUCCGCCGUGAAAGUCCAGGGCUCAACCCUGGAAUGCCGGUGGAAACUGUCGGGCUGGAGUCCGGAAGAGGCGAGUGGAAUUCCUGGUGUAGCGGUGAAAUGCGCAGAUAUCAGGAGGAACACCAAUAGCGAAGGCAGCUCGCUGGGACGUUACUGACACUGAGGCGCGAAAGCGUGGGGAGCGAACAGG
rnacentral:rRNA from 1 species